rnacentral:rRNA from 1 species
GAUGAACGCUGGCGGCGUGCCUAAUACAUGCAAGUCGAGCGAACAGACGAGGAGCUUGCUCCUUUGACGUUAGCGGCGGACGGGUGAGUAACACGUGGGUAACCUACCUAUAAGACUGGGAUAACUUCGGGAAACCGGAGCUAAUACCGGAUAAUAUUUCGAACCGCAUGGUUCGAUAGUGAAAGAUGGCUUUGCUAUCACUUAUAGAUGGACCUGCGCCGUAUUAGCUAGUUGGUAAGGUAACGGCUUACCAAGGCAACGAUUCGUAGCCGACCUGAGAGGGUGAUCGGCCACACUGGAGCUGAGCCACGGUCCAGGCUCCUACGGGAGGCAGCAGUAGGGAAUCUUCCGCAAUGGGCGAGAGCCUGACGGAGCAACGCCGCGUGAGUGAUGAAGGUCUUCGGAUCGUAAAACUCUGUUAUUAGGGAAGAACAAACGUGUAAGUAACUGUGCACGUCUUGACGGUACCUAAUCAGAAAGCCACGGCUAACUACGUG